GCCUUGCUACCCCUGCUGCCACCCCAGCUGGCAGCUGUAAAUUCAAUAAUUGUGGCAUUACAAACGUUAAAGGAGACAUAACAUGAAAAACCCACUUUUUUAUCCAUUAACACAGUGUGUUUCACAUUUUAAGUGUCUAAGUGAGCAAAAAGGCUUAUAUUAUUCACUGGAGUUGCUAUUUAGAUAUUUAAUAAUUAAGUUUUGGGCAUAUUUGUCCACCCGUUCAGUUUUUACAUAAUCUAUUACAUCAGUAAUUAAUUUAGUGAGGAUAACUACCAAAUAUGGUAAUGGCCCUCGGCUAAACACAGAGCCAAUCCGCCAUUUUUUCUUCUCGCUAAGAUGUUUUGUAGUCCUAUUGGAAAAAUGCAGAAUGCCUGGUUAUUUUAGCCACACACAGCUCAAAACUGUUCCUCGUUUUAAGGAAGGGUGGUGUGGCAGUAUUUAAACCCAGGAGCUGAUGACACUACUGCUAAAAAAAACAGAAGAAAAAGUAGUGUGUUUGUGUUUGUGCUUGUGUGUGUGUGUGUGUGCGCGCGCGCGCGGUUCGUUCUUUCGUGUCUUCAGGCUAGUAAGUACUGAGGGCUUCAUCUAUCAAAAAGGAGUCAUUUUUAUCUGAAUGUGGCAGCACCGGGACACAGCAGCAGAGCGAAUAUGACGAUGACAUCAUGGAACUGGUCUUUGGAAAAGUUUUCCCUGAACCAACUCCGUUUCUAGAUGAGGUAGAGAAGAUCUGCAUCUCACCAACUCUCUGGUCUCAGUAUUCAGACAACGGAGGUCUCCCACUGUUAUCCAGGACCAGUUUGAAGCCCACAUACUGCCCCUCCCUCAUCAUCAGGAAACAUCAAUCCGUAUCCUGAGGACAACAGAAGACGGCAGGAGGACAGGAACUCUGAGACCUAGACACCACCAGCACCGAGACACAAAUUACCUGUGUGCACAAGCCUGUUUAACUACUAAAGCCUGUUUAACUACUAAAGCCUGUUUAUUAUAUUGUUCUACUUAUUUGCUGUGAGGUUAAUACUUAGAAAAUUUGUAUAUUAAUGUAAACAAUUUUAAAAAAAUCACUGAUUGUAUGUUUUCUUUUAGAUGUAAUGGUCCAAACUCAGCCUUGUAGACAUUUAUUGCAUCCUGUAGGUAAAUACACAGAACAGGCUUAGGUCCAGGAUGACCCAGCAUGCUCUUCUUCCAUUCUGGCUGUUAGGGAUUUUAUCAAUAACUCAAUGCCUACUGAUGUUUUCACUUAACGGUAUUUAUUUAGAAUGCAGGUAAGAUUUAACUAUAUUUGUUAGCAAAGCAGACUGAUCUUGGGAAUUUCACUGCAGCACUGAUGUCCACCUCUCUGUACACAUUAGAGAGAAUUACCACUUUACAGCUAAACACAUUUAAUAAAGAUAUAGGCUACGCAUUGCAGACAAUAAAAACAAAGUUGUAAGCAUUAGAAUUAUAACGAUCACAUUAAAGAACAUUUGGAGGAA